AACAUAAACUCGCAUGUCUCUAGUGAUUUGAGCUUUGAGAUGAGUGGAUUUGAAGAAGGCUCCUAUCAGGCCAUGUAUUCUCUUCUGCAAGCUCCCAUUGAUGAGCAAAAUGGAGGAUUUUCCCAUCAACUCUGUGAGAGAUUUCGGCUUUCAGGGCGGUCUGAGUAAGCACAGGAAAUGAACUCGAGAGUUUCUCCGAGAAAAGGCCAUCCAAGAGUGCCUAAAGGAAGUGGGGUUUUGUACUUAGAUGAUCUGAUGAUGCUAAACCUCCUGUUCCUGUACAGGAUUAUGGAAGACAACAAGAUUGCUAAUACAAUCCACAAUAAAUUGUCCAUUAUGGAUCCUCCUCUUGCCCGCACGACAACGCACACGCUCUCUCUCUCUCUCUCUCUCUUUCUCUCUCUCUAUAUAUAUUUGCUUCGCUUAAAUGUGCUUAAUCAUGGUGACUAUAGGACGAUCAUGACAUUAUUUAAGAUGUAAAAAUUUGAAUAUAUAUGCAUGUACGUGCACGCGUGUGGUAGAGACAGAGAGAGAGAGGGGAGAGAUGGGGAGAGAAUAUAAGGUUGAAGGAAGCUUAAGUUAAUAUAUGUAUAUAUAUGUAAGAGAGAAUAUUUUGUGUUGGGAGAUCCAUAUAAUAAGUUAUUAUUAGCAGUUUUGUCUUAGAAGGUUAUAUAUAUAUACAUGGAUUCACUGCAUUGGGUUGAGUCGGGUCGGGUUUGUUUGUGGCCUGACCCAACUAAACCUUUUCUUUGUAAGGAAAAUCAUUACAUAUUGUGUGUGAAAUUAAUGAAUGGUAUAAUUUAAUUA